AGGUGGUUGGUGGCGGCUGUCUUGAAAGUGUGGCUUAACGUCUGGGGUUUUAGUUUCUGAUUUUACAGCACCAACAUAUACUAUGCAUUCGUAUACAAGUCGAUGCUGCACUCUCACUCCUUUCACUGCCGUGAUGAGAUGAGAGGGCAUUCGUUAUGAAAUGGACAAGGUCGGGGCACAUAGCUAACGUGAUCAAGUACUGGGGCAAGAUAGUGACAUCAUCAGUCUGUUUCCUUCAGCCUUCCUUCUUGCUUGACCCAUUCUUGGCGUCAUGACCCUGUUGAUCCUUAGGAAAUCCAACGCUUUGGGCAUUAUUCCAUGGUGGAAUAGUUGAGUGGAGAGAUGUUUGUGGAGAACAUGGAUGUGCUGGAGAGGAGCGCUGAAUCUGUGGAGGACAUAACUGCUGCUGCAACUGCUGCUAUUCCAAAUAUGGAGACGUAGGAGGGAGA